UACGGAGGGGGCUAGCGUUGUUCGGAAUUACUGGGCGUAAAGCGCACGUAGGCGGCUUUGUAAGUUAGAGGUGAAAGCCCGGGGCUCAACUCCGGAAUUGCCUUUAAGACUGCAUCGCUAGAAUUGUGGAGAGGUAAGUGGAAUUCCGAGUGUAGAGGUGAAAUUCGUAGAUAUUCGGAAGAACACCAGUGGCGAAGGCGACUUACUGGACACAUAUUGACGCUGAGGUGCGAAAAGCGUGGGGAGCGAACGAGG
rnacentral:rRNA from 1 species